AACGUAGGAGGCAAGCGUUAUCCGGAGUUACUGGGCGUAAAGAGUGCGUAGGCGGAUCUGUAAGUGGGUGGUGAAAGCGCCCGGCUAAACCGGGCGAGGUCCAUUCAGACUGCAGGUCUAGAGGCGGAUAGAGGGGUGCGGAAUUCCGGGUGUAGCGGUGAAAUGUGUAGAGAUCCGGAGGAACACCAGUGGUGCAGACGGCGCCCUGGGUCCGAACUGACGCUGAAGCACGAAAGCGUGGGGAGCGAACGGG
rnacentral:rRNA from 1 species